rnacentral:rRNA from 1 species
UACGUAGGGUGCGAGCGUUGUCCGGAAUUACUGGGCGUAAAGAGCUCGUAGGUGGUUUGUCGCGUUGUUCGUGAAAACCUGAGGCUUAACCUUGGGCGUGCGGGCGAUACGGGCAGACUGGAGUACUGCAGGGGAGACUGGAAUUCCUGGUGUAGCGGUGGAAUGCGCAGAUAUCAGGAGGAACACCGGUGGCGAAGGCGGGUCUCUGGGCCGAUACUGACGCUGAGGAGCGAAAGCGUGGGGAGCAAACAGG